rnacentral:tRNA from 1 species
GCCGGAGUGGCGGAAUCGGCAGACGCGUCGGACUCAAAAUCCGAUGAGCGCAAGCUCGUGUGGGUUCGACCCCCACCUCCGGCACCA